CCUGGGUCUUGUAACCGACUCCCCUCCGUCCUGCUCCAUUCCGGCACCAGCUGUCAGCUCCGCCUGCCCGCCCGCCGCCAUCCGGCAGGGGGCGCCCUUCAAGGGAGGCCUCCUCCUGGCCUGCAACCUCACCGCCCCGGCAUUGCGCCUAGCUGGCGGUCCCGGCCGACGACCCGCUCCACGUCCCUGUUUUCCGGCCGCCGCACUGCUUCCCGCCGAGCUCCUCCUCCGUCUGGCUGCAGGACCCGCACCAGGACUAAGCCGCUGGGGCGGCCUAGCUCUCCUCUCCGGCCUCCGAUCCGGCACCGCAUGGGGGGGAGCAGACGUGCUCGGAACCCCCAGCUGCUCUUGUAGCCACGCCAUUCCCUUCUCCUGCACCACGGACCGCAGACCGGAC